ensembl:lncRNA
AUGGAUUACACCUAAGACGCGCAGACUUAGCCUUGAGAGCUCCAUGGCUAGACUUCAAAAUUGAAAAGCAGAACAAAACCUUGCAAGAAGGAGCAGGUUAAUUGAGAGAAAGGUAACACAGCAGGAAAUGCCAUCUGCUGUCCCGAGGAUACAAGCUCUCUGGCUGCUGCUCUCUGUCCCCUGCAUGUCACUGCAGCACAACCUCAGCACACCCUCAUGGACACCCUCAGUAAAGCAGCUGUUUUCCAAGGUGGUGCUAAUUACCAAAAUACACUGAUAGAGAAAAAAAAAAAAAAAUCCUGGACCAGAUGCUGAUCUCAGGAAAGAAGCCACUAGAAGCCACCAGAAUACCCAACCUAUCUGCAGAGAACAAAGAAAAGUGAAACCAAUCAUACAGAAAGAAGCAAACAGGACUAGACCUGCACUGACUCAAGGAGGCUCUUCACCUGGACAGCCUCAAACUGCACCAGAGAGGCAAGGAUCAUGGAAACUACAGAGGCAUCCAGCAUAGCUGGGUGGCACAUACAGAUCUCCUCUGAUAUACAGUUCCCAACAACAUCUCAUUCUCCACCCUCCAGAACUUCUCCUGAUCCCAACAAAAUUUAGCAGGAGAUUCCUCACUUGAAACUCAAGUGUUCCAACAGUUCCAAGACCUCUACAAUUAGACAAACAUCAGGAGGGACAGCAAUUUGAUGAGUUUCUGAAUCAGCGUAUACAUGAAAGGAAACCUUUGCUUCUCAUUAGUGUUGAAAGCUUCCCUUUCCUUGCUAAGUUUUUUACACUUUACUGUUUGUAACCCAGGUGUAAUUUUUAGUCUUUUUGGUUGUCUUUGCAAGGAAACCAAAGGGGGGAUUUUUGUAUCAUGCAUUUUAACAUUUUUUUGAUAUGUUUAUGAAUAACUCUGCAAUGUAAGUCUUGAGUUCUUUCCCUCGUGUAUUUUUUUGAAGAAAAAUCUAUACUCAAACCUGUCUGCAAAUUAACAUUUUGUUUACCAUAUUAAAGGCACAUGAUAUGAAGCUUCAUUAUUAAAACUAAGUGCUGACUGCAAACACUUCUAAGUUCACAAAAAGGAGAUUUAACUAAAUCUUCCUUCCAUCUACUUCAUGUGAGCGAUAGCAUAUGUUCAUGGACAGACUGAUUCGAUAUUGCCUGUGCAAUGAGACCAGGACCUCAGAAUGACAAACUCAAUGCACUUACACAGCAGAGCUAUUCUCCUUUCUUGAAGUGUAAAUUUUAUAUCUUCAAUGGCUGUGCUUGCUCUCAGGGGCUACUCAGAUGUUUCUCUUUUUUCAUUUUUGUUUUGGAAAGAAAUAAUUUUGUCAUUGGCAGAGAGAGCAAUUUUUUACUCUUUCUUAUGCUGACACAAAUUCUCAGAUGAAAUCUUCUGAAAUCUGUUAAUGAGUCAGGAAAGGAUGCAUUUCACUUCCACUGCUCUAACGCUGUACCACUGAUGUUCCACUGAGGAUGAAAUCUGCUGAGGGUUCAAAAGCUGCUAGCUGCCAGAUGGAACACUUCUACAUGAACAUCUUCAGAGCAAAGUUGUGCAGAAGUUGCUUAGAUAUGUAUGUGUUGCAAUGAGCUCAAAAUAUAAAUUAAAGUCAAUUUUAAAUCAUUUAUCUAGCUGGCAAAAUAGCAUAAAGUUCUAAAAAUCCUCAUCUUCUUCAUUAAAAGAAUCUCAGGAGAAAAUGAUAAACCAAGUUAUAAUUACAGCAACAAGGACUGAUUUCAAUUAAGUACACUCCAGAUAUCCUCCUGGCAUGUAAAGCAAACUUUGACUUUAGAUAUUAUGUGCAUACAGUUGCAGAUAUGCAUAUAUAUUAUAUAUUACAGAAUGUCAGUGGAUUAAUCUAAGUAGAGUAUUAGUUUAACAAAGAACUAUGACGUGUAACAAGACUAUGAUGUACAUAGUGAUAGGCCAUGAAGAUCCAUGGUCAACCAUAUUGAAAGACUAUAUAUAUGCUAUAAUUUCUGAAUGAUGUUGAAGCCACCUUAGAAGUUAGUCAUCAGACAGAGGAGUCACUGAAACUAUUAAUUUUGACAAACAGCAGUGAAACAAAACACCUUGUUUUGUUCUCUUUUGUGUGCAGCUAGUAGCUCUAAAGUUCUAUGUUAUCUAGUAGUUUUGGAACAUCUAGUACACUACUGACACAGAACAGGCUAUUGUAAAAUUUUAAUAUCUUUUCACCUUUUAUAAGUCCAAACGUAAAAUAUAAUAAUAUAUAUUAAUAUGCACAUAUCCACACAAUUAAAAACAGAGAUCUGCACUUAGCUUUGUCAGUCGGUAAUUCUAAUAGUAGCAAGUGGAUAUGUAGAAAUGAAUUAAAAAGAUUUUUUUUUU